CUGUCUCACCUCUGUGCCCGGCAAGAUCAUGGAGCAGAUCCUCCUGGAAACUGUACUGAGGCAAUAAGAAAAUAAGGAGGUGGUUGGUGACGUCCAGCAAGGCUCCAUAAGGGGCAAGUCAUGCCUCACGAAUUUGGUGACCUUCUAUGAUGGGCUACAGCACUGGUGGAUAAGGGAAGAGUAACUGACAUUCUCUACCUGGACUUGUAGAGGUCCUCAACACUGUCCCACAUGACAUUCUGGUCUCUAAAGUGGAGCGGUAUAGAUUUGAUGGAUGGACCACUCAGCGGUUUAAGAGGCCCACUGAUGUACAAUAUCGACUCUAACAGAAGAGGACUGACAGGACUGGUUGGACAUCAGUCACUCUACUGGGAUUGUCUCCUGGACAGGGAUGGAAAAGACUGUUCAGCUGAAAGAAAAUUUCAGUUAAUUAACCUUGCUUCCAUUUCCCUUGUGUGGAGGAGUGACCUAGAGAGACCACUGUUUAUAUUUGGCUACUGAAAUACUGCACUGCAAAUACAGGAGAAGGAGUUCAUCUCAUGUAGCUCUCUACUUCCAAGAAAUCCAAGUGCCUCUAGUAUUACGUAAGUCACCCAGGACAUUAGAAUUAAAGUUACUGGGCUAAGGCUCACAUAGCACUGUUCUAUAAUUAGUUGCCAAGUCGAUUCAACAUUUAUUUUAAGUGUAUGAAGUAGAAAAAGAUUCAUGAAUGGAUAAUAAAGAAGGCAUACGUUGUCUGAAUGCAUUAGUUUAAAAAAGUGUUCUUAAAAUACUGUUUUAUUGAAAGCUUGCAUUUGGAGAUCUUAGAUUAUUCUGUUUGCAAGUCAAUACAUUAUGUGCACUAUGCUUGUAUUAAAUUAUUAUGCCUCAGCUAAAUAAGAGUCCUCAUCCCUGAUGUUUCACUUUUAUGAGCCUCCUACAGUAAUGUGCAUAAAGGCACACGGGAGAGAGUAAGAGAAAGAAUUCUUUGUACUUUCACUGUUUAUUGAGCAGUGCAGUUUUUGGGCCAUCAUAAAGACUUGGCACAAUUUGAGCAGUAAAAGAAUAAGCAAAAUCUCUCUUUUGAGAAUAUCCUUUUGAGACUUGCCAAGAUUUCAUUUAGAAUUGUCUAAUUAGCCCGGCCUUCUGACACAGCAUGAAAUGAGGACACAAAGAAGUCACAACUUGUGGGGUGGUGUAGGGCUGUUUCAUGAGUUUCGAAUCAAAAAAUCAACAGAAUGCAACAUGUAUUGUCAGUAUUUAAAGAUAUGGAAAGCCAGACCAUUUGUUAUCAAAUUGAGGUUUUCCACAUUAUAACAACUCUACUUUUGACAGUAAAGAGUCUUGCUAGAUGGGAAUGGGAGUACUUAAUAUCAGUGAUUUGUAACAGAUAGGGUCUAAAAGUCAGAAUUAAAACCUGACAUCAAUAGAUACAAGGUUUUUAUUUGAACAUGAUGUUAAUUAUAUUAAUAUAGAGGUAAAACAACAAUGCUAUGCCUUGUCAAAUGUGAAAAAUAAUAUUUCUGUAACUCAUUUAGAAAUCUUAUAUACAUAUAUACCUUAUAAUGCUCUUUAAACAGCAUAGUGUCUAUUUACUAAACUGCAUUCUUUUCUCCAAAAAUUAGCAUUACUUUAUUAUUUCAUGUAACACAGCGUUUAGCAUUGCCGUGAAAACACUUACUUGUAUACCUUAAUUCUUUUACUGUGUAAUCUUAAAACUGUGGUAGCAUCUUUUCUUUCAUAUGAAAAGCUUCAUGGAUUUCAUAAAACAAUCUAUUUCAUUUCCUAGUUCCCUAUCUUCAGCCUCAUAUCAAACCACCAAAGCAUCACUAAUGAUGCCUUUGCCUAAUUAGUGGGGCCUGUACUGUAAUAAGUUUAUAAUCAAGGACACUGUGUAGUAGUGCUUGCAUUUCUGCAGGGAAAAUUGUUUCUGAACAUACCGAAUUCUUAUACGGCAGCUUACUUUUUUUGUAGCAGAUCGCUUCAUAUUUGUAAAAAGAUACACUUUUAUCCGUAUUUCUGUGUUUACAUAUAAACAUAUUUAGGAAUAGUCAUACAUUAUAUAUAUUAAGAUUUCUUUUAUUAUUAAAA